UGAAAACAAAAAAAGAGGGGAUAUGGCGAAAUUGGAAAUUUAUAGUAAAAGGAAAAUCCGUCGACUUUUAAAAUCGUGAGGGUUC
rnacentral:tRNA from 1 species